GACGAACGCUGGCGGCGUGCUUAACACAUGCAAGUCGAACGGAAAGGCCCUGCUUUUGUGGGGUGCUCGAGUGGCGAACGGGUGAGUAACACGUGAGUAACCUGCCCUUGACUUUGGGAUAACUUCAGGAAACUGGGGCUAAUACCGGAUAGGAUCUCCUGCUGCAUGGUGGGGGUUGGAAAGUUUCGGCGGUUGGGGAUGGACUCGCGGCUUAUCAGCUUGUUGGUGGGGUAGUGGCUUACCAAGGCUUUGACGGGUAGCCGGCCUGAGAGGGUGACCGGCCACAUUGGGACUGAGAUACGGCCCAGACUCCUACGGGAGGCAGCAGUGGGGAAUAUUGCACAAUGGGCGGAAGACUGAUGCAGCAACGCCGCGUGCGGGAUGACGGCCUUCGGGUUGUAAACCGCUUUCGCCUGUGACGAAGCGUGAGUGACGGUAAUGGGUAAAGAAGCACCGGCUAACUACGUG
rnacentral:rRNA from 1 species